rnacentral:rRNA from 1 species
CUACGGGAGGCACCAGUGGGGAAUAUUGCGCAAUGGAGGAAACUCUGAUGCAGCAACGCCGCGUGGAGGAUGACACUUUUCGGAGCGUAAACUCCUUUUAUAUAGGAAGAAGAUGACGGUACUAUAUGAAUAAGCGCCGGCUAACUCCGUGCCAGCAGCCGCGGUAAUACGGAGGGCGCAAGCGUUACUCGGAAUCACUGGGCGUAAAGAGCGUGUAGGCGGAUUAAAAAGUCAGAAGUGAAAUCCUAUAGCUUAACUAUAGAACUGCUUCUGAAACUCUUAAUCUAGAAUAUGGGAGAGGUAGAUGGAAUUUCUGGUGUAGGGGUAAGAUCCGUAGAGAUCAGAAGGAAUACCGAUUGCGAAGGCGAUCUACUAGAACAUUAUUGACGCUGAGACGCGAAAGCGUGGGGAUCAAACAGGAUUAGAUACCCUUGUAGUC